GACAGAGGCCUCAAGCGUUAGGCGGAAUCACUGGGCUUAAAGCGUGUGUAGGCGGAUCGUUAAGUGCCUUGUGAAAUCCCACGGCUUAACUGUGGAACGGCUGGGCAUACUGGCGGUCUUGAGCCAUCUAGGGGCGACUGGAACAAACGGUGGAGCGGUGAAAUGCGUAGAUAUCGGGAGGAACACCGGUGGCGAAGGCGGUUCUCUGGGCCUGACCUGACGCUGAGGAGCGAAAGCGUGGGGAGCGAACAGG
rnacentral:rRNA from 1 species